GGCUCGGUGGCCUAAUGGUAAGGCGCCAGAUUUCGGUGACGGAAUCGGCGAUUUUCGACGAAAAUCCAAACUACCAGUCCUUGUGCUGGUUGUUGCUCUCUGGAGAUUGCGGGUUCGAAUCCCGUCCGGGUCG